AAACGUAGGGGGCGAGCGUUGUCCGGAAUUACUGGGCGUAAAGGGCGUGUAGGUGGUCCGUGAAGUCAGGAGUGAAAACCCGGGGCUCAACCCUGGGACUGCUUUUGAAACCAGCGGGCUUGAGUGCAGGAGAGGGAAGUGGAAUUCCCAGUGUAGCGGUGAAAUGCGUAGAUAUUGGGAGGAACACCAGUGGCGAAAGCGGCUUCCUGGCCUGCAACUGACACUGAGGCGCGAAAGCGUGGGGAGCAAACAGGAUUAGAUACCCUGGUAGUCCACGCCGUAAACUAUGGGUGCUAAGUGUUGGGGGUAUCGACCCCCCCAGUGCUGUAGUUAACGCAAUAAGCACCCCGCCUGGGGAGUACGGUCGCAAGAUUGAA
rnacentral:rRNA from 1 species